rnacentral:rRNA from 1 species
AAAAACAUCGCCUCCCGCAAAAACCAAUAUAUGGGAGGUCUUACCUGCCCAGUGACAACUAGUUAAACGGCCGCGGUAUUUUGACCGUGCUAAGGUAGCGCAAUCACUUGUCUUUUAAAUGAAGACCUGUAUGAAUGGUGGAACGAGGGCUUAACUGUCUCCCUUUUUAGGUCAGUGAAAUUGAUCUGCCCGUGCAGAAGCGGGCAUAAACAUACAAGACGAGAAGACCCUUUGGAGCUUAAGACAUAAAGCCAACUGUGUCAAAAACCCAAAUCAAAAAGAAGCUAAACAAAACAGCAAAACUGGCUGACGUCUUCGGUUGGGGCGACCGCGGGGUAAAACAAAACCCCCACGUGGAAUGGGAAAACUCCUAAUACCAAGAGAGACAUCUCUAAGUCACAGAACAUCUGACCAAAUGAUCCGGCCACAUAGACCGAUCAACGGACCAAGUUACCCUAGGGAUAACAGCGCAAUCCCCUCCAAGAGUUCAUAUCGACAAGGGGGUUUACGACCUCGAUGUUGGAUCAGGACAUCCUAAUGGUGCAGCCGCUAUUAAGGGUUCGUUUGUUCAACGAUUAAAGUCCUACGUGAUCUGAG